CCCGCCGACACGGGGAGAAGUCCUCGAAGGCCUGCCUGGAGCUUCUCCAUGGGCCCGGCCCUGGAGAGCAGGGGUCCGGUGGGGUCGAGGAGGCCGCGCGCAGAGGUCGCCGCCAUUGCGGCGCUUCGCUGGCGGAGGAAGAGUCGCUGUAGGAUCGCGGCUCGGCCGGGCCGGUGCUCCGGCUCCUAGGGUCCGCAGGACGCAGACCGAAGCUGCUCCCGGGGCCCCGGCUCACCCGGCGCAGUCCUGAGGCGGUGGGGGGCCCGGAGGAAGGAGGCCGCAGUGCCUAGCUCGCCACGCUCUCUGCCGGAACUCGUUGACUUUCCCAGCCUUCACCAGGUCUCCUACCAUCCCUCUGCAGAGCAACCCAACACUCUGGUCAGAACCUCGUCAAAAAGCAGAAGCUGUGGGGGCGAAGCUGAAGAGCACAGAGGAAAGAAGAAAAUCUUACUAUGGGGCAUGGAGAGGGAAGCUACGCUUGACCCAGUAGAUGGCGAGAAUGAAAGGGGAAACGAGAGUGAGUGACACACCAAGAAGCCAGUCACCGGCUUCUCACUCUGCUGCUUUGGGUUUCUGAACGUCUCCAGGAAGUCUGCGUUCAAGCCAGCUUUCCAGGCGGCCGGCCGUGCUCCUGGGAGAGGGUAGAAGCUCUGGAAGGCGGGGCCUACCCGGAAGAAGUUGGGCCAGUGGUGACCUACUCUUCAAGGCGUGUUGGAACCCUGGCCCCAGUUCCUCCUUCUCUCACACUCUGCCCAUGAAGUAAACAGCUUGCUUGUGUUCUGCACACCAUGUGCUGCCUGGGCAUAAGCCAACGAGCCCUGGGAAACCAUGAGCCAAACUGAACCUUCUCAUGAGUUCACGUAUCUUACGAGAUAAUGGAAAGCUGACUACUGUGUGCUUACCCGACCAUAACUCAUGAUAACUUCUGUUAUUCACUUUCAACUUGGAUGAUUUCUUCCUCCUCCUCUUUUUGUUUUGACUGCACCUCACUACGUAGCCGCUCCCUGGCCUAGCUUUUGCUUUGUAAACCCAGCUGUCCCUGAAUUCAGAUCGGCUGCCUCUGCCUCUGUCUCUGCUGGGAUCACAAGCAGCACUACUGCUCCUAGGCACUUCUCUAUUCUGUGAAGACUAAAUCUGUGGAGUCUGAAGGGUUUCACAGCAUGGGAUCUAGAAAAACUUCAUCAAAUGUUUCACUCUUAAGUCAGAUUUUUUAAAAAAAAUAAACUCAAUCAUGGUUUAGCCAAGUAGAAAUUUGUUUUCCUCCAUUCUGAAGCAGCUUUUCCAGGCUUGAUGUAAAUAUUCCAGGACGCAGUAAAGUCUCAAUUUUCCUUUAGUACUUUACUUAGCACAGGUUCUGACAGGGUAGUCAGAUAGCUGCUCUAUUUUUAGAAGAGUUGCCUUCCUUCCCAGCAAGGAUAAAGAAUGGAGGUCGGAUAUAUGUGUGAAGCCAGUCAGAACCUUUCCCCAGGGAGACAGCAGGAUCUCACAAGACCUACACAGCAAACAUACUCCUUAAUCUCACUGAUCACAGAGGGCCACGUAGAGGUUACAUCUUAAAGUAGGUAUUUUCCACAGGAACCAUGGAGGAAAUAAGGAGAAGCCUCACUGCAGAUUAUCAGUCCCUGCUCACAAUGCUUUAGCGUGUUGGCCUUCUGUUGUAAGUGGGCAAGCUCUUUUCUCUCCCAGACUGUUUAGUUUGCAGUCAUCUCAGAUGGACUGUUCUUGUCCAGUGGCUAGCAGCUUAUGUCUCCAUCUCUGCUCAACUGUGAACAGCUCAGGAGAGCUUUGUCACAAUGGAAAGCGACUACUCUCUCCACCAGUAACUCUCGCCCACACGAGAUUGUUUAUUCCCACACCCCACCCGUUCUCCUCCUCCUGCCCUUCCUUUCUCCUUUCUGUUCUGAUUCUCUUGCCUCAGGAGUCUAGGAUGAAAUUACUACCCACAAAUCCUAGGGACUUUGUGCAUGGUAAGCACUCUAAGAACUUAGCUACAUCCCCAAUCACUGAACACUCCCCUGGCCUGAUGUUAUUAGCUGCUUCUUAUUCAUGUCCCUCUACAAGAAAGCAGCCCUUUGGGAAACAGGUUCUCUCUAUAGCUCUGGCUGUCCUGGAACUCCCCAUGAAGACCAGGCUGGCUUCACACUUUCAGAGAUCCAUCUGCCGCUGUCUCUUGACCUCUUGAGUGCUAGAAUUAAAG